GAUGUACAGGAAGUGCAAAAUGCCACCACAUCAGGUGUACGAGCUGUUGGUGGCGGCUUAGACACUUACAGUGCCCGGGUGCUAAUUGGAUAAUGUCCUGCAGGGCACAAAUAGAGGACACAAACAUCGCCCUGGAGAAGAUCAUAAGGAACAACAGAAAGGUGGACCAAAGCCUCAAGAAUAUUAUUGAUGUUCUGGGGAGGGUU